CCCGAAAGAUCGAACGGGGGAGAUUCAUCGUCAACGAAGCCGGCUUCGACGCGGCUCGCGAUGUCGCGGACCCUGUGUCCACGGCACGCGGUCGCGUCGUUUUUAUGCCCGGCGGCGUUGGCGUGCACUUCUUUCCUAGUAGGACGUCGCGACCCGUUGGGCGUCGGCAUAAGGCCCGAUUGGUAGCCUGUCUCGGCGUUCGCGCCGGGGCAGACCGUCGGUUGCCCGGCCGGCUGCCCGGCGGUACUCGCACGGUAUAGAGCCGCAUCGAACUUGCGCCCAGCCCGUCGCAAGCGCGGCCAGCGAUUCCCGGUGGUCGGACCUAGCGCCGUCCCCGGGCCUGGCCAGCUGUUGGCAGACGGUGUCCUCGGGCGGGCUCACAUUAAAAUACCGGUCGGCGACGCUUUUGCUUUGGGUACUUUCA
rnacentral:rRNA from 1 species